GACGAACGCUGGCGGCGUGCCUAAUACAUGCAAGUCGAGCGAAGUAACCUCGCAGAAGCCUUCGGGUGGACGCUUGGUUUACUUAGCGGCGGAUGGGUGAGUAACACGUAGGCAACCUACCUGUAAGCCUGGGAUAACUAGUGGAAACACUAGCUAAUACCGGAUACAUCGCAUAAGACGCAUGUCUUUUGCGAGAAAGACGGAGCAAUCUGUCACUAACAGAUGGGCCUGCGGCGCAUUAGCUAGUUGGUAAGGUAACGGCUUACCAAGGCAACGAUGCGUAGCCGACCUGAGAGGGUGAUCGGCCACACUGGGACUGAGACACGGCCCAGACUCCUACGGGAGGCAGCAGUAGGGAAUCUUCCGCAAUGGACGAAAGUCUGACGGAGCAACGCCGCGUGAGUGAUGAAGGUUUUCGGAUCGUAAAGCUCUGUUGCCAGGGAAGAAUAGGUAUAGGAGUAACUGCCUGUACUGUGACGGUACCUGAGAAGAAAGCCCCGGCUAACUACGUGCCAGCAGCCGCGGUAAUACGUAGGGGGCAAGCGUUGUCCGGAAUUAUUGGGCGUAAAGGGCACGCAGGCGGUGGUUUAAGUUUGGUGUUUAAUCCCAGGGCUCAACCCUGGUACGCACUGAAAACUGGAUCACUUGAGUGCAGAAGAGGAGAGUGGAAUUCCUAGUGUAGCGGUGAAAUGCGCAGAUAUCAGGAGGAACACCGGUGGCGAAGGCGGGUCUCUGGGCCGUUACUGACGCUGAGGAGCGAAAGCAUGGGGAGCGAACAGGAUUAGAUACCCUGGUAGUCCAUGCCGUAAACGUUGGGCACUAGGUGUGGGAUCCAUUCCACGGGUUCCGUGCCGCAGCUAACGCAUUAAGUGCCCCGCCUGGGGAGUACGGCCGCAAGGCUAAAACUCAAA
rnacentral:rRNA from 1 species